rnacentral:rRNA from 1 species
CACGUAGGGUGCGAGCGUUGUCCGGAUUCAUUGGGCGUAAAGAGCUCGUAGGCGGCUCGGUUAGUCAGAUGUGAAAACUCCGGGCUCAACUCGGAGAGGCCAUCUGAUACUGCCGUGGCUAGAGUUCGGUAGAGGAGUGUGGAAUUCCCGGUGUAGCGGUGAAAUGCGCAGAUAUCGGGAGGAACACCAGCGGCGAAGGCGGCACUCUGGGCCGACACUGACGCUGAGGAGCGAAAGCGUGGGGAGCGAACAGG